AUUGAACGCUGGCGGCAGGCCUAACACAUGCAAGUCGAACGGUAACAGGAAGAAGCUUGCUUCUUUGCUGACGAGUGGCGGACGGGUGAGUAAUGUCUGGGAAACUGCCUGAUGGAGGGGGAUAACUACUGGAAACGGUAGCUAAUACCGCAUAACGUCGCAAGACCAAAGAGGGGGACCUUCGGGCCUCUUGCCAUCGGAUGUGCCCAGAUGGGAUUAGCUAGUAGGUGGGGUAACGGCUCACCUAGGCGACGAUCCCUAGCUGGUCUGAGAGGAUGACCAGCCACACUGGAACUAAGACACGGUCCAGACUCCUACGGGAGGCAGCAGUGGGGAAUAUUGCACAAUGGGCGCAAGCCUGAUGCAGCCAUGCCGCGUGUAUGAAGAAGGCCUUCGGGUUGUAAAGUACUUUCAGCGGGGAGGAAGGGAGUAAAGUUAAUACCUUGACUCAUUGACGUUACCCGCAGAAGAAGCACCGGCUAACUCCGUG
rnacentral:rRNA from 1 species